UACAGGGGGGGCAAGCGUUAUUCGGAAUUAUUGGGCGUAAAGGGCGUGUAGGCGGCCUAGUAUGUCUUCUGUGAAAGCCCUCGGCUCAACCGAGGAACUGCAGGAGAAACGGCAAGGCUCGAGUCCGGGAGAGGAAAGCGGAAUUCCCAGUGUAGCGGUGAAAUGCGUAGAUAUUGGGAGGAACACCAGUGGCGAAGGCGGCUUUCUGGACCGGUACUGACGCUGAGACGCGAAAGCCAGGGGAGCAAACGGG
rnacentral:rRNA from 1 species